rnacentral:rRNA from 1 species
UACGUAGGGAGCGAGCGUUAUCCGGAUUUAUUGGGUGUAAAGGGCGCGUAGACGGUUUGGCAAGUUGGUUGUGAAAUCCCUAGGCUUAACUUAGGAACUGCAACCAAAACUGCUUAACUUGAGUGUGGGAGAGGAAAGCGGAAUUCCUAGUGGAGCGGUGAAAUGCGUAGAUAUCAGGAGGAACACCAGUGGCGAAGGCGGCUUUCUGGACCAUAACUGACGUUGAGGCGCGAGAGUGUGGGGAGCAAAC